AUUUCAAUUCUUCUUGUGCUCUUUCAAUUUUUAAAUAAAUUUUCCGUCUAUAUUUCUCAAGAAAAUUCAUUCUCACUAUUCUUCUAUUGAAAAAUAACAAAACACGAUUGAGAUUCAUAAAUUUCGAAUCAUCGAAAUAGAAGAAAUUAAAGAACGAAUGAUUCGUGCGAGAAGAUUUUAAAAGUAAUCGAUGCUCUUCUCAAAGCAACUCUGUUCUACCAGAUUGAAUGUUACUCCUUUCACUCUGUUUCUGCGUAUUGAAACAGGCAUAUACUUCAAGUCACCUUUUAAAAUCGCACGUUCCCCAUGUUUGUGAAACAUUCGCACGGCUAACGCGAAAGAAAGCAACAGUUCAGCAUCCUCGAAACCAAGGAAACGAUAUAUAAGAAAAUAUAAAGAAACGAAUUAAAAUCCUUUCGAUCACCGUUACUAGAUUCAAACUACCUUUGCCAUGACGAUCCACAAUUUGAUUCGAAAUCUAUCCUCUCGGGACAUGCAAUCUUACAGGAAGUCAGCUCAGCGUGUUUCCUCGUUUCAGUUCACCUGUUCUAGUCCAUCUGAGAAAGUUGGCGGCCCUUCGACAUGGUUGUUGACCAUCGUCUUUACCACCUUCUUCGAUCACGUUUCGCGUGCUCCCGAUCCCUCGAUUAAAAAAAAAAAAAAAAAAACAACCUCGUGCUCGACGAUUUUCGCCACUUUGUUUGACGCGUGCUAUCCCAUAAGCAGUUCGUCCGAGCAGCGACGUAGUAAUACUUGGCGUGAAGCCUCGGGUGAGACGCCAGGUGGGCACCGGGAACAACCAUCUCUCUCCUCUCUCUUUACCUCGUUUUACCGCGCCCCACCUGCAUGCUACAGGCAAGGUUUAUCGGUGAACAAGAGGAUUCUUAAUUCUUUGGGGUCCGCAACGAAGGUCGAGGCGCCUCUAUAGGGUUCGACGAUCUUUACCGAGUGGAACAAUUCGAUUCCUUCUUUAUCGAUCGUGAUUCUUCUUCUCGUGAUCUUCUCGAUCGCGAUUUAGAAUGGCCCUUGAAUUCUCAUAAUAAUCGAGAAUAAUCGUAAAGGCGUAUAUCAUUUUAUGAUUUUGAAAUCACGUGAAUUGAAUUCAUGUAUCGUUUAUGUAUCGUUUUUUAAUCACCUGUGAUCAUCUUCGAAUUUGCGAUUAAAAUGGAACGACAUGCGAAAUACGAUAUUAUGAUAAGAAAUAAUAAUUUUACACUAUUUCAUCAAUUGAUCGAGAAAUGAAAAAUCUAAAUUAAAUUUAUUAAUUUUUAAUAUUGAUUCCUGUCUAUAUAUAUGCGCGCACAGAUAUGUAUGUAUGAAUGAAAUCUUUUUAAAUUAAAAACUUAAACUUUAAAA